AGCUCUCUGUAUCCGUGCUGAGAUUUCGUCAGCGAUCAACCCGCUGGAGUUGAUGCGACUUCCCAAAUAAGUGAAGCG
rnacentral:pre_miRNA from 1 species